AGGACGAACGCUGGCGGCGUGCUUAACACAUGCAAGUCGAGCGGAAAGGCCCUUCGGGGUACUCGAGCGGCGAACGGGUGAGUAACACGUGAGCAACCUGCCCUUAGCUUCGGGAUAGCUCCGGGAAACCGGAAUUAAUACCGAAUAUGACCAUGGCCGACAUCAGCCAUGGUGGAAAGUUUUUCGGCUAGGGAUGGACUCGCGGCCUAUCAGCUAGUUGGUGAGGUAACGGCCCACCAAGGCGACGACGGGUAGCCGGCCUGAGAGGGCGACCGGCCACACUGGGACUGAGACACGGCCCAGACUCCUACGGGAGGCAGCAGUGGGGAAUAUUGCGCAAUGGGCGAAAGCCUGACGCAGCGACGCCGCGUGGGGGAUGAAUGCCUUCGGGUUGUAAACCCCUUUCAGCAGGGACGAAGCGAAAGUGACGGUACCUGCAGAAGAAGCGCCGGCUAACUACGUGCCAGCAGCCGC
rnacentral:rRNA from 1 species